AGAGUUUGAUCCUGGCUCAGAAUCAACGCUGGCGGCGCGCCUAACACAUGCAAGUCGAACGAGAAAGCAGGAGCAAUCCUGUGAGUAAAGUGGCGUACGGGUGAGUAACACGUGGAUUAUCUACCCUGGAGUGGGGAAUAACGCUGGGAAACCGGCGCUAAUACCGCAUAUUCCCGAGAGGGGAAAGCAGCAAUGCGCUCGAGGAGGAGUCCGCGGCCGAUUAGCUAGUUGGUAGGGUAACGGCCUACCAAGGCUAUGAUCGGUAGCCGGCCUGAGAGGGCACACGGCCACACUGGCACUGAAACACGGGCCAGACUCCUACGGGAGGCAGCAGUGGGGAAUCUUGCACAAUGGGGGAAACCCUGAUGCAGCGACGCCGCGUGAGCGAUGAAGCCCUUCGGGGUGUAAAGCUCUUUCGGCAGGGAAGGUUAUGACGGUACCUGCAGAAGCAGCUGCGGCUAACUACGUGCCAGCAGCCGCGGUAAUACGUAGGCAGCAAGCGUUGUUCGGAGUUACUGGGCGUAAAGGGUGUGUAGGCGGCCCCCUAAGUUUGGUGUGAAAUCUCCCGGCUUAACCGGGAGGGUGCGCCGAAGACUGGAGGGCUAGAGUGCGGGAUGGGAGAGUGGAAUUCCUGGUGUAGCGGUGAAAUGCGUAGAUAUCAGGAGGAACACCUGUGGUGUAGACGGCUCUCUGGACCGCAACUGACGCUGAGACACGAAAGCGUGGGUAGCAAACAGGAUUAGAUACCCUAGUAGUCC
rnacentral:rRNA from 1 species